rnacentral:rRNA from 1 species
CAAGUCGAGGGGUAACAGGGAAGCUUGCUUCCGCUGACGACCGGCGCACGGGUGCGUAACACGUAUGGAAUCUGCCCUUUACUGGAGAAUAGCCCGGAGAAAUCCGGAUUAAUGCUCCAUAAUAAACGAGAUGGCAUCAUCUUGUUUUGAAAGCUCCGGCGGUAAAGGAUGACCAUGCGCCUGAUUAGUUUGUUGGUGAGGUAACGGCUCACCAAGACUACGAUCAGUAGGGGGCCUGAGAGGGUUAUCCCCCACACUGGUACUGAGACACGGACCAGACUCCUACGGGAGGCAGCAGUGAGGAAUAUUGCGCAAUGGAGGCAACUCUGACGCAGCCAUGCCGCGUGCAGGAAGAAGGCGCUACGCGUUGUAAACUGCUUUUAAUCGGGAAGAAACCCCGGGACGUGUCCCGGGUUGACGGUACCGAUGGAAUAAGCACCGGCUAACUUCGUGCCAGCAGCCGCGGUAAUACGAAGGGUGCAAGCGUUAUCCGGAUUCAUUGGGUUUAAAGGGUGCGUAGGCGGAACAAUAAGUCAGCGGUGAAAGCCCGCAGCUUAACUGCGGAAUUGCCGUUGAUACUGUUGUUCUUGAGUACGUUUGACGUGGGCGGAAUGUGCCGUGUAGCGGUGAAAUGCUUAGAU